AGUGAACGCUGGCGGUAGGCCUAACACAUGCAAGUCGAACGGCAGCACAGUAAGAGCUUGCUCUUACGGGUGGCGAGUGGCGGACGGGUGAGGAAUACAUCGGAAUCUACUUUUUCGUGGGGGAUAACGUAGGGAAACUUACGCUAAUACCGCAUACGACCUACGGGUGAAAGCAGGGGAUCUUCGGACCUUGCGCGAUUGAAUGAGCCGAUGUCGGAUUAGCUAGUUGGCGGGGUAAAGGCCCACCAAGGCGACGAUCCGUAGCUGGUCUGAGAGGAUGAUCAGCCAGACGGGAACUGAGAAACGGUCCAGACUCCUACGGGAGGCAGCAGUGGGGAAUAUUGGACAAGGGGCGAAAGCCUGAUCCAGCAAUACCGCGUGGGUGAAGAAGGACUUCGGGUGGUAAAGCGCUUUUGUUGGGAAAGAAAAGCAGCAGGUUAAUACCCCGCUGUUAUGACGGUACCCAAAGAAUAAGCACCGGCUAACUUCGUG
rnacentral:rRNA from 1 species